CUUGUGAGGAUAACAAGAUUAACAGUAUAUAUGUACCUUACAUCAGGAUUUGUACCUUACAUCAAUUCUCUUCAAGAUUCAGUUUCUAGAUCUAUUUAAGAGUACAGAUUUUUUUUUUGCUUUUUCUCC